GAAAUGCGAUAACUAAUGUGAAUUGCAGAAUUCAGUGAAUCAUCGAGUCUUUGAACGCACAUUGCGCCCCCUGGUAUUCCGGGGGGCAUGCCUGUCCGAGCGUCAUUGCUGCCCUCAAGCCCGGCUUGUGUGUUGGGUCGCCGUCCCCCUCUCCGGGGGGACGGGCCCGAAAGGCAGCGGCGGCACCGCGUCCGAUCCUCGAGCGUAUGGGGCUUUGUCACAUGCUCUGUAGGAUUGGCCGGCGCCUGCCGACGUUUUCCAACCAUUUUUCCAGGUUGACCUCGGAUCAGGUAGGGAUACCCGCUGAACUUAAGC
rnacentral:misc_RNA from 1 species